UACGGGGGGGGCAAGCGUUGUUCGGAAUUACUGGGCGUAAAGGGCUCGUAGGCGGCCAACUAAGUCGGAUGUGAAAUCCCCAGGCUUAACCUGGGAAUUGCAUCCGAUACUGGAUGGCUUGAAUCCGGGAGAGGAAUGCGGAAUUCCAGGUGUAGCGGUGAAAUGCGUAGAUAUCUGGAGGAACACCGGUGGCGAAGGCGGCAUUCUGGACCGACAUUGACGCUGAGGAGCGAAAGCCAGGGGAGCAAACGGG
rnacentral:rRNA from 1 species